rnacentral:rRNA from 1 species
CGAGCGAACAGAGAAGGAGCUUGCUCCUUUGACGUUAGCGGCGGACGGGUGAGUAACACGUGGGCAACCUACCUUAUAGUUUGGGAUAACUCCGGGAAACCGGGGCUAAUACCGAAUAAUCUGUUUCACCUCAUGGUGAAAUAUUGAAAGACGGUUUCGGCUGUCGCUAUAGGAUGGGCCCGCGGCGCAUUAGCUAGUUGGUGAGGUAACGGCUCACCAAGGCGACGAUGCGUAGCCGACCUGAGAGGGUGAUCGGCCACACUGGGACUGAGACACGGCCCAGACUCCUACGGGAGGCAGCAGUAGGGAAUCUUCCACAAUGGGCGAAAGCCUGAUGGAGCAACGCCGCGUGAGUGAAGAAGGAUUUCGGUUCGUAAAACUCUGUUGUAAGGGAAGAACAAGUACAGUAGUAACUGGCUGUACCUUGACGGUACCUUAUUAAAAAGCCACGGCUAACUACGUGCCAGCAGCCGCGGUAAUACGUAGGUGGCAAGCGUUGUCCGGAAUUAUUGGGCGUAAAGCGCGCGCAGGUGGUUUCUUAAGUCUGAUGUGAAAGCCCACGGCUCAACCGUGGAGGGUCAUUGGAAACUGGGAGACUUGAGUGCAGAAGAGGAUAGUGGAAUUCCAAGUGUAGCGGUGAAAUGCGUAGAGAUUUGGAGGAACACCAGUGGCGAAGGCGACUAUCUGGUCUGUAACUGACACUGAGGCGCGAAAGCGUGGGGAGCAAACA